rnacentral:rRNA from 1 species
UGCAUAUCCAAAAAGCGGAGGAAAAGAAACCAACAGGGAUUGCCUCAGUAGCGGCGAGUGAAGCGGCAAGAGCUCAGAUUUGAAAUCUCACCUAGUGUGCGAGUUGUAAAUUGCAGGUUGGAGUCUCGGGUUAGACGUGUGUGCAAGUCCCUUGGAACAGGGUGCCACUGAGGGUGAGAGCCCCGUAUCGUGCAUGUCGAYACCUGUGAGGCCCUUCUGACGAGUCGAGUUGUUUGGGAAUGCAGCUCUAAGUGGGUGGUAAAUUCCAUCUAAGGCUAAAUAUUGGCGAGAGACCGAUAGCGAACAAGUACUGUGAAGGAAAGAUGAAAAGCACUUUGAAAAGAGAGUGAAACAGCACGUGAAAUUGUUGAAAGGGAAGGGUAUUGGGCUCGACAUGGGAUUUACGCAUCGUUGCCUCUCGUGGGCGGCGCUCUGGGUUUUUCCUGGGCCAGCAUCGGUUUUCGUUGCAGGAUAAGGACAAUUGRAAUGUGGCUCCUCGGAGUGUUAUAGCCUUUUGUAGAUGCUGCGUAUGGGGACCGAGGGCUGCGGCGGACUCGUUUCGUCUCGGAUGCUGGCACAACGGCGCAAUACCGCCCGUCUUGAACCCCGGGACCA